UACGGAGGUGGCAAGCGUUGCUCGGAAUCAUUGGGUGUAAAGGGUCUGUAGGCGGUUCUAUAAGUGCCUGAUGAAAUCCCGCAGCUUAACUGCGGAACGUUUGGGUAGACUGUAGGACUUGAGGACUGGAGAGGCAGACGGAAUUCCCGGUGUAAGAGUGAAAUCUGUAGAUAUCGGGAGGAACACCAGAGGCGAAGGCGGUCUGCUGGACAGUAUCUGACGCUGAUAGACGAAAGCGUGGGGAGCAAACAGG
rnacentral:misc_RNA from 1 species